GUCGUACUCCCUCCGUUCGGAAUUACUUGUCUCGGAAAUGGAUGCAUCGAAUUACUUGUCUCGGAAAUGGAUGCAUCUAGAUACAUCCAUUUCCGAGACAAGUAAUUCCGAACGGAGGGAGUAGUAC
rfam:Triticum aestivum genome assembly, contig: Triticum_aestivum_CS42_TGACv1_scaffold_576994_7BL